AUUGAACGCUGGCGGCAUGCCUAACACAUGCAAGUCGAGCGGAUGAAGGGUGCUUGCACCCCGAUUCAGCGGCGGACGGGUGAGUAAUGCCUAGGAAUCUGCCCGAUAGUGGGGGACAACGUUUCGAAAGGAACGCUAAUACCGCAUACGUCCUACGGGAGAAAGUGGGGGCUCUUCGGACCUCACGCUAUCGGAUGAGCCUAGGUCGGAUUAGCUAGUUGGUUGGGUAAAGGCUCACCAAGGCGACGAUCCGUAACUGGUCUGAGAGGAUGAUCAGUCACACUGGAACUGAGACACGGUCCAGACUCCUACGGGAGGCAGCAGUGGGGAAUAUUGGACAAUGGGCGAAAGCCUGAUCCAGCCAUGCCGCGUGUGUGAAGAAGGUCUUCGGAUUGUAAAGCACUCUAAGUUGGGAGGAAGGGUUGUAGGUUAAUACCUUGCAGCCUUGACGUUACCGACAGAAUAAGCACCGGCUAACUUCGUGCCAGCCGCCGCCGUAA
rnacentral:rRNA from 1 species